GGUUAAGCGACUAAGCGUACACGGUGGAUGCCCUGGCAGUCAGAGGCGAUGAAGGACGUGCUAAUCUGCGAUAAGCGCCGGUAAGGUGAUAUGAACCGUUAUAACCGGCGAUUUCCGAAUGGGGAAACCCAGUGUGACUCGUCACACUAUCAUUAACUGAAUCCAUAGGUUAAUGAGGCGAACCGGGGGAACUGAAACAUCUAAGUACCCCGAGGAAAAGAAAUCAACCGAGAUUCCCCCAGUAGCGGCGAGCGAACGGGGAGGAGCCCAGAGCCUGAAUCAGCAUGUGUGUUAGUGGAAGCGUCUGGAAAGGCGCGCGAUACAGGGUGACAGCCCCGUACACAAAAGCGCAUGUGCUGUGAGCUCGAUGAGUAGGGCGGGACACGUGGUAUCCUGUCUGAAUAUGGGGGGACCAUCCUCCAAGGCUAAAUACUCCUGACUGACCGAUAGUGAACCAGUACCGUGAGGGAAAGGCGAAAAGAACCCCGGCGAGGGGAGUGAAAAAGAACCUGAAACCGUGUACGUACAAGCAGUGGGAGCACAGGUUUACCUGUGUGACUGCGUACCUUUUGUAUAAUGGGUCAGCGACUUAUAUUCUGUAGCAAGGUUAACCGAAUAGGGGAGCCGGAGGGAAACCGAGUCUUAACCGGGCGUUAAGUUGCAGGGUAUAGACCCGAAACCCGGUGAUCUAGCCAUGGGCAGGUUGAAGGUUGGGUAACACUAACUGGAGGACCGAACCGACUAAUGUUGAAAAAUUAGCGGAUGACCUGUGGCUGGGGGUGAAAGGCCAAUCAAACCGGGAGAUAGCUGGUUCUCCCCGAAAGCUAUUUAGGUAGCGCCUCGUGAAUUCAUCUCCGGGGGUAGAGCACUGUUUCGGCUAGGGGGCCAUCCCGGCUUACCAACCCGAUGCAAACUGCGAAUACCGGAGAAUGUUAUCACGGGAGACACACGGCGGGUGCUAACGUCCGUCGUGAAGAGGGAAACAACCCAGACCGCCAGCUAAGGUCCCAAAGUCAUGGUUAAGUGGGAAACGAUGUGGGAAGGCCCAGACAGCCAGGAUGUUGGCUUAGAAGCAGCCAUCAUUUAAAGAAAGCGUAAUAGCUCACUGGUCGAGUCGGCCUGCGCGGAAGAUGUAACGGGGCUAAACCAUGCACCGAAGCUGCGGCAGCGAACGUAUCACUUAAAGCGAUUCAGCGGGUUACGAUUGACGGAGCGAAGCGACGUCAAAGCGUAUACAAAGUCGAGUCGGUUUAAGGAUACGUUCGUUGGGUAGGGGAGCGUUCUGUAAGCCUGCGAAGGUGGCCUGUGAGGGUUGCUGGAGGUAUCAGAAGUGCGAAUGCUGACAUAAGUAACGAUAAAGCGGGUGAAAAGCCCGCUCGCCGGAAGACCAAGGGUUCCUGUCCAACGUUAAUCGGGGCAGGGUGAGUCGACCCCUAAGGCGAGGCCGAAAGGCGUAGUCGAUGGGAAACGGGUUAAUAUUCCCGUACUUGGUGUUACUGCGAAGGGGGGACGGAGAAGGCUAUGUUGGCCGGGCGACGGUUGUCCCGGUUUAAGCGUGUAGGUGUGUGUUCCAGGUAAAUCCGGUUCACUUUAACACUGAGGCGUGAUGACGAGGCACUACGGUGCUGAAGCAACAAAUGCCCUGCUUCCAGGAAAAGCCUCUAAGCAUCAGGUAACAUCAAAUCGUACCCCAAACCGACACAGGUGGUCAGGUAGAGAAUACCAAGGCGCUUGAGAGAACUCGGGUGAAGGAACUAGGCAAAAUGGUGCCGUAACUUCGGGAGAAGGCACGCUGACACGUAGGUGAAGUGAUUUACUCAUGGAGCUGAAGUCAGUCGAAGAUACCAGCUGGCUGCAACUGUUUAUUAAAAACACAGCACUGUGCAAACACGAAAGUGGACGUAUACGGUGUGACGCCUGCCCGGUGCCGGAAGGUUAAUUGAUGGGGUCAGCGCAAGCGAAGCUCCUGAUCGAAGCCCCGGUAAACGGCGGCCGUAACUAUAACGGUCCUAAGGUAGCGAAAUUCCUUGUCGGGUAAGUUCCGACCUGCACGAAUGGCGUAAUGAUGGCCAGGCUGUCUCCACCCGAGACUCAGUGAAAUUGAACUCGCUGUGAAGAUGCAGUGUACCCGCGGCAAGACGGAAAGACCCCGUGAACCUUUACUAUAGCUUGACACUGAACAUUGAGCCUUGAUGUGUAGGAUAGGUGGGAGGCUUUGAAGCGUGGACGCCAGUCUGCGUGGAGCCGACCUUGAAAUACCACCCUUUAAUGUUUGAUGUUCUAACGUGGACCCGUAAUCCGGGUUGCGGACAGUGUCUGGUGGGUAGUUUGACUGGGGCGGUCUCCUCCUAAAGAGUAACGGAGGAGCACGAAGGUUGGCUAAUCCUGGUCGGACAUCAGGAGGUUAGUGCAAUGGCAUAAGCCAGCUUGACUGCGAGCGUGACGGCGCGAGCAGGUGCGAAAGCAGGUCAUAGUGAUCCGGUGGUUCUGAAUGGAAGGGCCAUCGCUCAACGGAUAAAAGGUACUCCGGGGAUAACAGGCUGAUACCGCCCAAGAGUUCAUAUCGACGGCGGUGUUUGGCACCUCGAUGUCGGCUCAUCACAUCCUGGGGCUGAAGUAGGUCCCAAGGGUAUGGCUGUUCGCCAUUUAAAGUGGUACGCGAGCUGGGUUUAGAACGUCGUGAGACAGUUCGGUCCCUAUCUGCCGUGGGCGCUGGAGAACUGAGGGGGGCUGCUCCUAGUACGAGAGGACCGGAGUGGACGCAUCACUGGUGUUCGGGUUGUCAUGCCAAUGGCACUGCCCGGUAGCUAAAUGCGGAAGAGAUAAGUGCUGAAAGCAUCUAAGCACGAAACUUGCCCCGAGAUGAGUUCUCCCUGAGACUUAGAGUCUCCUGAAGGAACGUUGAAGACGACGACGUUGAUAGGCCGGGUGUGUAAGCGCAGCGAUGCGUUGAGCUAACCGGUACUAAUGAACCGUGAGGCUUAACCUU
rnacentral:rRNA from 1 species